rnacentral:lncRNA from 1 species
CCCUGCCAGGUUACAAACUGUCUCCCAGAGAUAUCAGGCAAGCACCAUUCAUAGACAGCCCAGUUAUUUAGGAGUCCUUUUCAUUGUAAAAAUGUUCUUCUCAGUGAGAAUAAUGUGAAAAAGUAUUGGUAAGAACUGAUUCUUUUAAUGAGCAAUAUUAAAGGCAAAAAAGCAAAUGUGCAAAUUCAAGUACAGUAGAAGUUUCCAGGGAGAAGUGAGGAAAGACAAAAAUUCAGAACUAUGGUGUCAAAUAUCAUUUAUUCAAGCUAGUCUGUGUAACUCAAGAAAGGAAGAGAAAUGCUUAUUAUAGACCAGUGAGUCUUCUUUUGCACAUUUUUCCUUUGUUGCAUACUGAAAUAAUAUAGAUUGAAAGAACACUGAAUCUAUCUUCCUUUACUUUAUAUCCUCCUUCCCCAGUAACCGUAUUUAAGCUAAGUUGUAAAAUGGAAUGAGCAUAAGUCUAUCUUCAGUUGUGGAAAUUACUUUUGUUUGAUCUUUUGGUUGAUUGAUUAGAUUCUUUUUAUAUUUUAUUUCAUAGUAGAGAAAAAAAUAAAAGCCUUGAAAUAUUUUUAAAAGUGUAGCUUUGAGCUUCUGCCUGAAAUUCCUUCAGAUUUUUUACAUUCGUAUAAUCUGUGCUCGCUCAUAUAUGUUACCCUAGUUUGUUGUGUCAAGGUUUGUGUGGGAAGAAUUUCGUUUUCAGACUGAAGUCCUUUCAGAAUUGCUGUGGUCCCUCCUGUCACUGCACUCGCUAUUUAUGCAGACAAGCUCUGCAUGUUAAACUCUUAAAGAAACUGAUGGCAGCAGUUGCUGGAGAUUUCCCUACAUUAAAUAAUAAGAGUCUUAAAGGUCUGAGAAACCUCAUGAAGGUCACCUACAACUUCUCUUUUAAAGAUCUGGGCAUGCUCCUUCUGCUUGGCUGGCAAAUGGAGAAGACAGAAGACCCAUUCUCUCAGAUCUCUGUAUCUUCACACCAUAAUCUGGGUUAGUGAUCUCUAAAUACUUUGGACUGCAGAUCUCUGUCAACCAUCAAAAUACCUUGCAAAACACCACUGAUCUUUGCAUCAUUUUUUAAAUUGAAAACUUAAUGAGGAUUGUGUGGUUUUAUAGGAAUAACCUAGUUUGAUUCUAUGAUUUAUACAUUAAUAAAAAUGCAGACUACAACA